GGUCAAGGUCCCCGCAGAUUUGGCGUCUGGUGGCUCCCGAGCUGGACUGCAUUUCCCGUCCUUCUCUGCACCUGGACAUGGCCGCCGAACGGGUUCUGACCAAAAGACGAGGGUGAUGAAGAAUCCUCACUACACAGGGCUGUUAUGAAGACGAUACCAGUAAAGCAGGAGAAGCUCGGCAAGUGUAUGCAACCCCCCCAGGAAUCAUCAUCAUCAUAGUCCCUUUCCAUCCAACGCAUCCACUCGAGGGACAGCCGUCCUCCAUGGAGCCCCCUCCUCUGCCCUCCUCGCUCUAAGGUCCCGGGAGCGUCUCCCUCCCAAGGCCAGCCCGCCCUCCGUUAAUUAUCCAGGGCUGCAAAAACAAAUCAGCCCCACGGUUAGAGGCAUAAAACAAUCUCUCACACAGUUCUGUGGGUCGGGGAUUCAUGAUGUUUGGCCAGGUUGUUUGGUUUGGGGCAUCUUGUGAACUUGUGGUCAAGAGGUCAGCUGGGGCUGUGGUCAUCUGAAAGCGGGACUGAGGCUGGGGGAACCUGUUUCCAAGAUGGCAGACCCAUGUGGCUGUUGGCCUCAGUUCCUCACCACAUGGACCUCUUCUCGUGCAAACUGGCUUCCCAAGAGUGAGUCAUGAGAGAGACCGACAGAGACAGACAGAGAGAGAGAGGCAGAGACAGAGAAAGGAAAGAGGAAGCUGAAAUGCCUUUCGUGAUCUAGUCCCAGAAGUCACACGUAGUCACUUCUGUCACGUUCUAUUUGUUACAAGGAAUCACUAAGUCAGGCUCACGCUCCAAGGAAAGGGAAUUAGGCUCUACCUUUGAAGGGACUUGGGGACAUAUUUUGAAACAACCACACGCACCUUGUCCAUGAGCAGGCUCUGCUUAUGCUGUGAGCAGGUGCACAUAGAUAGUCCCUGUCGCACCUGCUACUAACCACCCGCUCCCACCCCAGACCCAGGCAUGGGCCUCCUGUCCUGUCACAGAGUCAUGGUCGAGGGCACUGUGCCCUGGACAAGUAAGCCUCCCUUCAGAGCCAUAGGGUCCUCUUCUGUGAAAUGGACUGUAAUCGUGGGAGUGGCUGAUAAGAGCUGUCUGUGGAUUCAGUGAGCUGACACGCAUAGAGCUGGGAACAGAGCUCCUGGCUGAGAGCAUUGUUGGCGGUCGCUCUCGUUCUCCUGGCCUGCCCUCUGACGUGACUUCUUAGGAUGCUGCCCUGCAUGCACUAGGCACACGAUAAACAUCUGCCUGCCCGCCUGCCUGCCUCUCGGGGGGCCUCUCCGUGUGUCCCCGGGAUGCUCAAACAGACCUCUGUAAACAAAAGAUGAACUAGAGGAAAUUGAAGCAAAAGGGCAGGUGGGAGAUUUAAAGAAAAUAAAUCCCGUUUCUAAGUCCCGCUUGAAAAUGAACCCUCCCACGGGGACACCUGGGGGGCUCAGUCGGUUAAGCGGCUGCCUUCAGA